GGCGGAUGUAGCCAAGG
rnacentral:tRNA from 1 species